rnacentral:rRNA from 1 species
UACGUAGGGUGCAAGCGUUGUCCGGAAUUAUUGGGCGUAAAGAGCUCGUAGGCGGUUUGUCGCGUCGAAUGUGAAAACCCGGGGCUCAACCCCGGGCCUGCAUUCGAUACGGGCAGGCUUGAGUGUGGUAGGGGAGACUGGAACACCUGGUGUAGCGGUGAAAUGCGCAGAUAUCAGGUAGAACACCGGUGGCGAAGGCGGGUCUCUGGGCCAUUACUGACGCUGAGGAGCGAAAGCGUGGGGAGCGAACAGG